AAAGAGCAAAUAAUUUCAACUGCCCAAAAUUCACAAACAAAAUCUUAGCAGACAGCAAGAUCCCUCUUCCGAUAUCAAUAGAAUACAAAAUUUCAAAAUGUCUACAAACUAUUAAAUGAUUUAUAAAAGGCCAUUGGUCCACCAGACCAUUACAGGAACUGUUGAAGUCAUUUCACCAAUCAGAUUUUGAUGUUCCCAGUAUAAAUAAUCCCAAGUUCAGUUCAAUAAAUAGCAUGAAAAACCAAGGAUUACCAACUUCACUGCUAACUUUGCAACAUCAUUUCUUCGUCUGAGCAAUGAAUUUCGUCAGGACGUAGCAGUCAGGUGGCGUUAUGUUUGUGUAAUAGUUCUGGAUGGUAUCUGUGAUUUCAAAUCCAAAUUUCUUAUAAAAGUUGAUGGCAUCCUCAUUGUUUGUCUGCACAUGCAAGUAAAUCUCAGAUAUAUUUUGCUUGGAGCAGAGAUCAAGAACAUGAUUCAACAGUCUUGUACCAAUGCCUAACCCUCGGUAUGGCGCUAAAACACCUAGUGUCAUGAUGUAAACACGAACAGCCCCACCUUCCUUCUUCUCCAGCCGGCAUGCAAUUGCUCCGACACAGAUGUCACUGUAAUAUGCUAGUUUAGUGAAAUCCCCAGAAGCGAGGGCAUCGGCGUAAUACUUAUCGUUGUAGCGAACGGGGAAGAGCGCAGUAUUGAGCUUCUUGAGCUGCAUCACAUUCUUAUCCCUCACUCCGUCCAGGGAUAUCGAUACCUCACGCCCUGCCCCCAUUAUCUUCUUCUCUUUACUGUACCUAUGUGCCUGAGCUACAAAGUAUACAAAAGCUACUAAGCGUGCGUAUAUCAAAUGGAAAAGAGAUAAAAAAGAAGAUCGAAAUUAGGGAAUUGCCGAAUCGGGGCUUCUCUCUCACAGUAGCUUUCCAGUUGAUUUGCUUUUAAGUCUUGUUUGGAAGGCGUGAAAAGUGUUAGCCCACAAGCCACUAUGCUGUCUUGAAUUUUGGACCCAAUACGGUAACGGGCCCGUAGGUUUUAACACUGGGCCUAUGUUUUUAACUACCGAUCUUAGCCGCCGAUAGUUAUCGAACUGAGCAGACCCCAUUUGAUCGAUCAAGCAGGUUCUGUUGUCGUUUAGCCAUGAGCCUGUGAGCUCUUCCAGCCACAACCACAGAGUGACCAAAACUGGAGAGAUUGGAAGGCUGAGUGAAAGAUGAGUGAGAAGAAGGAUAAAAAGAAGCCCAAGGCUGUAAUAUUAGGAGGAAGCAUAGCGGGGGUAUCAUGUGCACACGCUCUCAUUUUAGCAGGAUGGGAUAUUGUGGUGCUCGAGAAAUCGAACGCACCUCCUAAGGGCAGCCCAACUGGUGCUGGACUCGGAAUCGACCCUCUGGCUCAGCAAAUCAUCCAGUCUUGGCUUCCUCAACCUGAGCUUCUCCAAGAGGCCAUCUUGCCUCUCACAAUUGAUCAGGUAUCUAUUAUUGUCCCCAUCACAAAUUUGCUUGCAGUAAGUAUAUAUCAGCUCUUAACUGGGAUUGUUUUGCGCCAAUUUUGAGAAAUGUUUUUCAAUUCAAUGAACUUGGGAAUGAACUUGAUUUGUGCCUUGGCCAUGUGUUUCUGUUAAUUACCUUUUAGUUAAAAGCAAGCGACUUUAGGUAGAAUGAAGCUGGGAGCGUGGGACUAGUAGAAGUUCAUUCAUUGAGUUCAAAAUUAAAGUUCAACAUCCCACCAAAUUUGGGAUUUCUGUUUCUUUACAGAAUAUAGUCACCGGCGGAGAUAAAUCCACUAGGAUAUUGACAAGAGAUGAGAACUUCAAUUUUGGAGCUGCACAUUGGGCUGAUCUUCAUAGCCUUCUGUAUGAUGCUUUACCACCGGAAAUAUUUUUGUGGGGUCAUGUGCACCUUUCUUUUUGCAUUUCUGAAGACCAAACCUCUGUUAACGUUAAAGCUAAAUCUCUUCAAACCAAUGAGAUCAUAGAGAUAAAUGGGGAUUUGCUCAUUGCAGCAGAUGGUUGCCUUUCUUCAAUUCGCAGGAUUUUUCUUCCUGACAUCAAGUUGAGGUUUGUAAUCGUGUAUAAAUGAGAUUCGUGUUUUUAACUUUUUAUUUCUCGAUAAUAUACUGAUGAUAGGAUUGUAGUACAUUACCAUGAAUUGCUGGUAUUAUUCUGUAGAUAUUCAGGUUACUGUGCUUGGAGAGGGGUUCUUGAUUUUUCGGGAAAGGAGAGUUCAGAAACUAUUAUUGGUAUUAGAAGGCUGUAUCCUGACCUUGGUAACUGCUUAUACUUUCACCUUGACAGUGGAACUCACAGUGUGCUUUAUGAACUUCCCAAGAAAAAGCUCAACUGGAUUUGGUAUGUCCAUCAGCCAGAGCCUGAAGUAAAGGUGCUUCUUUAUUCUCAUCCCACUGUCAAAUUUUCAUAUCAUUCUUUUAUUAUUAAGCAGUUGGAAACAUUGCAGAUCUUUUACUUGUGAGAAACAAUAUGUUAAGUAGUUGUUAGUGUUUGGAGAAAGAAAUAGACCUGUAACCUAGGACUUGCAUGCUUGAGUAUUUAAACUUAGAACAUUUAAAAUGUUAAUUUGUGAAUCAAUUCUUCUUUCUUGCGAAAGGUAACUUUUGAACCAAUUCUUUUGCCUUUAGUCCACUACUUUUUUACAAAAGUGCUUUGACAAAAGUGUUUGAUCUCAAAUUGCAAUUAUGUGCUAGCAUUAGUUACAAAUCAACUAUGAGAGAACUAUAGUAUCACAAUAUUGGUUGUAGUCUUUUUAUGAAAAUCUGCAGCAAUAAAGCCAGUUAGAGAUAAUUAUUGUUACUUUAAAACAUAUGCAGGGAAAUUCAGUUACCAUGAAAGUGAGCAGUGAUAUGAUAAAUAAUAUGUACCAAGAAGCAGAGAAGGUUUGGCUUCCUGAGCUUGUACAAGUAAUGAAAGAGACAAAGGAACCUUUCCUAAACUUUAUAUAUGAUUGUGAUCCUCUAGAACAAAUCUUUUGGGGCAAUGUGGUACUAAUGGGAGAUGCUGCACACCCUACAACUCCUCAUGGUCUGAGAAGCACAAAUAUGUCAAUUUUAGAUGCUGCAGUUUUAGGCAAAUGUCUUCAGAAGUGGGGACUGGAAAAUUUACCUUCCGCUCUUGAAGAAUAUCAGAGCGUUCGAGUACCAGUCAUCUCACAGCAAGUCCUACACUCUCGACGAUUGGGUCGAAUCAAACAAGGGUUAUAUCUUCCUGAUCGUGGGCC
rnacentral:misc_RNA from 1 species